rnacentral:rRNA from 1 species
CCCCAGACUCCUACGGGAGGCAGCAGUGAGGAAUAUUGGGCAAUGGGGGCAACCCUGACCCAGCCAUGCCGCGUGAGUGAAGAAGGUCUUCGGAUUGUAAAGCUCUUUCGGACGUGACGAUGAUGACGGUAGCGUCUAAAGAAGCACCGGCAAACUUCGUGCCAGCAGCCGCGGUAAUACGAAGGGUGCGAGCGUUAUCCGGAUUUAUUGGGUUUAAAGGGUGCGUAGGCGGAGUGUCAAGUCAGCGGUAAAAUUUCGGGGCUCAACCCCGUCGUGCCGUUGAAACUGACGCCCUUGAGUGAGUGAGAAGUAAGCGGAAUGCGUGGUGUAGCGGUGAAAUGCAUAGAUAUCACGCAGAACGCCGAUUGCGAAGGCAGCUUACCGGCGCUCAACUGACGCUGAGGCACGAAAGUGCGGGUAUCGAACAGGAUUAGAUACCCCCGUA